UUAGCAAGACUACUUGCCCAGAUACGGCAAAGGACUAAUGACCGCAUUGUCCUUGUCUCAAACUACACACAGACUCUGGAUCUUUUUGCUCAGUUGUGUCGGGAACGAAGGUACCCGCACUUGAGGCUUGAUGGUGCAACAUCAAUCAGUAAAAGGCAGAAGUUAGUAAACCGCUUUAAUGAUCAAUCUAAGGACGAGUUCGUUUUUCUCU